rnacentral:rRNA from 1 species
AAUAAUGCGAGUCGAGCGAACAGAUAAGGAGCUUGCUCCUUUGACGUUAGCGGCGGACGGGUGAGUAACACGUGGAUAACCUACCUAUAAGACUGGGAUAACUUCGGGAAACCGGAGCUAAUACCGGAUAACAUAUUGAACCGCAUGGUUCAAUAGUGAAAGGCGGCUUUGCUGUCACUUAUAGAUGGAUCCGCGCCGUAUUAGCUAGUUGGUAAGGUAACGGCUUACCAAGGCAACGAUACGUAGCCGACCUGAGAGGGUGAUCGGCCACACUGGAACUGAGACACGGUCCAGACUCCUACGGGAGGCAGCAGUAGGGAAUCUUCCGCAAUGGGCGAAAGCCUGACGGAGCAACGCCGCGUGAGUGAUGAAGGUCUUCGGAUCGUAAAACUCUGUUAUCAGGGAAGAACAAAUGUGUAAGUAACUGUGCACAUCUUGACGGUACCUGAUCAGAAAGCCACGGCUAACUACGUGCCAGCAGCCGCGGUAAUACGUAGGUGGCAAGCGUUAUCCGGAAUUAUUGGGCGUAAAGCGCGCG